UACGGAGGGUGCAAGCGUUAUCCGGAUUCACUGGGGUUAAAGGGUGCGUAGGUGGGCAAGUAAGUCAGUGGUGAAAUCUCCGGGCUUAACCCUGAAACUGCCAUUGAUACUAUUUGUCUUGAAUACUGUGGAGGUCAGCGGAAUAUGUCAUGUAGCGGUGAAAUGCUUAGAUAUGACAUAGAACACCAAUUGCGAAGGCAGCUGGCUACACAAAUAUUGACACUGAGGCACGAAAGCGUGGGGAUCAAACAGG
rnacentral:rRNA from 1 species